AUUGAACGCUGGCGGCAGGCCUAACACAUGCAAGUCGAGCGGAUGAAGGGAGCUUGCUCCUGGAUUCAGCGGCGGACGGGUGAGUAAUGCCUAUGAAUCUGCCUGGUAGUGGGGGAUAACGUCCGGAAACGGGCGCUAAUACCGCAUACGUCCUGAGGGAGAAAGUGGGUGAUCUUCGGACCUCACGCUAUCAGGUGAGCCUAGGUCGGAUUAGCUAGGUGGUUGGGUAAAUGCCUUCCAAGGCGGCGAUCCGUAACUGGUCUGAGAGCAUGGUCAGUCACACUGGAAGUGAGACAGGGUCCAGACUCUUACGGGAGGCAGCAGUGGAGACUAUUGGGCAAUGGGCGAGAGCCUGAUACAGCCAUGCCGCGUGUGUGCAGAAGGUCUUCGGACUGUAAAGCACUUUAAGUUGGGGGGAAGGGCAGUAAGUUAAUACCUUGCUGUAUUGACGUUACCAACAGAAUAAGCACCGGCUAACUCCGUG
rnacentral:rRNA from 1 species